rnacentral:rRNA from 1 species
GAUGAACGCUGGCGGCGUGCCUAAUACAUGCAAGUCGAGCGAACGGACGAGAAGCUUGCUUUUCUGAUGUUAGCGGCGGACGGGUGAGUAACACGUGGAUAACCUACCUAUAAGACUGGGAUAACUUCGGGAAACCGGAGCUAAUACCGGAUAAUAUUUUGAACCGCAUGGUUCAAAAGUUAAAGACGGUCUUGCUGUCACUUAUAGAUGGAUCCGCGCUGCAUUAGCUAGUUGGUAAGGUAACGGCUUACCAAGGCAACGAUGCAUAGCCGACCUGAGAGGGUGAUCGGCCAGACUGGAACUGAGGCACGGCACAGACUCCGACAGGGGGCAGCGGUAGGGACUCUUCCGGGAUGCGGGAGAGCGUAACGGAGCAACGCCGCGUGAAGGAUGAAGCUCUUCGGAUCGUAAAACUCUGUUAUUAGGGAAGAACAUAUGUGUAAGUAACUGUGCACAUCUUGACGGUACCUAAUCAGAAAGCCACGGCUAACUACGUG